rnacentral:rRNA from 1 species
AUACGGAGGGUGCAAGCGUUGUUCGGAAUCACUGGGCGUAAAGGGCGCGCAGGCGGUUUUACAAGUCAGAAGUGAAAGCCCACGGCUCAACCGUGGAAGUGCAUUUGAAACUGUAAGACUGGAGUAUCAGAGGGGAAGGUGGAAUUCCCGGUGUAGAGGUGAAAUUCGUAGAUAUCGGGAGGAAUACCGGUGGCGAAGGCGACUUUCUGGCUGAAUACUGACGCUGAGGCGCGAAAGCGUGGGGAGCAAACAGGAUUAGAAACCCUAGUAGUCC